rnacentral:rRNA from 1 species
GAUGAACGCUGGCGGCGCGCCUAACACAUGCAAGUCGAACGGUUAAAGCACCUUUUAGGUGUGUAUAAAGUGGCGAACGGCUGAGUAACACGUGGGCAACCUGCCCUCCUCUUGGGGAUAGCCUCGGGAAACCGAGGAUAAUACCCGAUACUUCAAUGUGGCCGCAUGACGACAUUGAGAAAGCUUUUGCGGAGAAGGAUGGGCCCGCGGCCUGUUAGCUUGUUGGUGGGGUAGAGGCCUACCAAGGCAAUGAUGGGUAGCUGGGUUGAGAGACCGACCAGCCAGAUUGGGACUGAGACACGGCCCAGACUCCUACGGGAGGCAGCAGUGGGGAAUCUUGCACAAUGGGCGAAAGCCCGAUGCAGCGACGCCGCGUGCGGGACGAAGGCCUUCGGGUUGUAAACCGCUUUCAGCAGGGACGAGGCGAUAAGUGACGGUACCUGCAGAAGAAGCCCCGGCUAACUACGUG